GCUCUUACGAUAUGGUGUCUAAAGGACAUCAGAAUGGUCCAGCGAUUGACAUACCGCUGUAGGCUUUCCUACAACACAGCCUCUAACAAAACCAGGCUGUCCCGAACCCCUGGCAACAGAAUUGUUUACCUUUACACAAAAAAAGUCGGGAAAGCACCCAAAUCUGCAUGUGGUGUGUGCCCAGGCCGACUCCAGGGGGUUCGUGCUGUGAGACCUAAAGUCCUCAUGCGAUAGGCUAAAUAAGAAGAGGUAGCUGCUUGUGUGUGCUUAGGAUGCAAGAGGUCUAUAAAUUGCUAGCAAAGAAAGAACCUUUUUGAUAAAUAAAAAGGCUUGCAUAAUAAAAUGUUA